UAGGGAAUCUUCCGCAAUGGGCGAAAGCCUGACGGAGCAACGCCGCGUGAGUGAUGAAGGUCUUCGGAUCGUAAAACUCUGUUAUUAGGGAAGAACAAAUGUGUAAGUAACUGUGCACGUCUUGACGGUACCUAAUCAGAAAGCCACGGCUAACUACGUGCCAGCAGCCGCGGUAAUACGUAGGUGGCAAGCGUUAUCCGGAAUUAUUGGGCGUAAAGCGCGCGUAGGCGGUUUCUUAAGUCUGAUGUGAAAGCCCACGGCUCAACCGUGGAGGGUCAUUGGAAACUGGGAAACUUGAGAGCAGAAGAGGAAAGUGGAAUUCCAUGUGUAGCGGUGAAAUGCGCAGAGAUAUGGAGGAACACCAGUGGCGAAGGCGACUUUCUGGUCUGUAACUGACGCUGAUGUGCGAAAGCGUGGGGAUCAAACAGG
rnacentral:rRNA from 1 species